rnacentral:rRNA from 1 species
UACGUAGGGUGCGAGCGUUGUCCGGAAUUAUUGGGCGUAAAGAGCUUGUAGGUGGUUUGUCGCGUCUGCUGUGAAAAUCCGGGGCUCAACCCCGGACUUGCAGUGGGUACGGGCAGACUAGAGUGUGGUAGGGGAGACUGGAAUUCCUGGUGUAGCGGUGGAAUGCGCAGAUAUCAGGAGGAACACCGGUGGCGAAGGCGGGUCUCUGGGCAACACUGACGCUGGAGGAGCGAAAGCGUGGGAGCGAACAGG